rnacentral:rRNA from 1 species
AACGAACGCUGGCGGCAUGCCUAACACAUGCAAGUCGAACGAGACCUUCGGGUCUAGUGGCGCACGGGUGCGUAACGCGUGGGAACCUGCCCUUAGGUUCGGAAUAACUCCCCGAAAGGGGUGCUAAUACCGGAUAAUGUCUUCGGACCAAAGAUUUAUCGCCUUUGGAUGGGCCCGCGUUGGAUUAGCUAGUUGGUAGGGUAAAAGCCUACUAAGGCGACGAUCCAUAGCUGGUCUGAGAGGAUGAUCAGCCACACUGGGACUGAGACACGGCCCAGACUCCUACGGGAGGCAGCAGUGGGGAAUAUUGGACAAUGGGCGAAAGCCUGAUUCAGCAAUGCCGCGUGAGUGAUGAAGGCCUUAGGGUUGUAAAGCUCUUUUACCCGGGAUGAUAAUGACAGUACCGGGAGAAUAAGCUCCGGCUAACUCCGUG